AUACACAGAGUGUUAGUAUUUUAUUGAAAUGCUUAACACAAACAUCAGGCAAGUGGCGCUGGAACAGUGUUUAUAGUGGGGGUGCUGAAAGCCAUUAAACAAAAGUGUAACCCCUGAUGGAAGCCAUGCAUUCGGUUGCUAUAUGUUAAACAUGUUAAUAAAACGAAGCCAGCAUCAACACUGUUUAUCUAUUUAGUAAAAACAAAUUAUUUAACCACAGUCCUUGCUACAAUGUUUAAAACACGCUUACCAUAAAAUGUUUAGAGCAAUUUAGAAAUGUUUACUUGUAAAAACAGGUUAAACGGUUGCAUUUUAUUUACAGUAGUCAUUGUACAUAAGAUAAUGACAGUCAGAAGGCUCCAGAGGUGGACUUGUGAUGCUUUUUUUUUUUUUCAUGAGGCAAUACAAUGGACAUCUAACGCGUCCAGAAUGCAGCUGUGUACGUGUGUUUUUUACUGCAGCACCCCAGGCAUUUGUGACGAACUGAUUUUAGAAGGUGGUGCCGCUAAAGAAUUUACAAAAAUGCGAUAUUCUUUUUUUGGGACAUUUUCAAAAAGCGUUCUACUGUUCAAACUCGAGUCUAAGCGGCCAACUACUCGAGUCUUGCGAGACUGCAACAGCGUGAUUUAUAAAAUAUUCCGCCUCUGUUGUGACAGUCUGCGCUGAUUGGUCUAUUUCUGUUCACGUCAAUAUAGAAAGGCGCAGUGUAAUGACCAGUAUUACUGCACCACCAGCACUGUGCCCAGCACCAAUAAGGUAAAGGUUCUGAUGGCUGCCAGUCCUGGCAUGUGGAUAACUGCUAUCUCAAACCUCAUCCUGUGUGUGUCUGCUCUUUACUCUGCUCAUCAGACUGCCAAGGUUCACAGAGCUCCAGCGGCUGGGCUGUUCCUCCUAGCCUGCUCUGGAGCAGCAGGAUCAUUGCUCUCCGUGCUCCCUCCUUCUCUGCGUUGGGCUGUGUUUGAAACUCAGCAGGAUCUGUGUUGGAUAGGCUGUUUGUUAGGACCAGUGCUGGUCUCUUUUGAAUUUCUAUGGCUCAGUGAGGAUUCGUUCACAGGAAACACUCUUCUGGGCGGGGCUGUGCUUGCUACAGUUCUCACUGAUUGGCUUUCAGAUGAGGGGCGUGUCCUGGUCACCCGCUGUGUGCAAUUGUCCUCCCUGGGCUGUGCUCUAACUGUCUGCUUCUUCACAGCCAAUCACAUUGGAUUGUUAGGGAACCUGGCCAUGAACUUAGCUGCCCUCGUCAUUCCUGAGGUCAGGGGUCAGAGGUUACAACCAGCAGUCCUAGCUGAGGUCACAGAGGUCAUCCUGAACUGUCUGAUGUCACUGGGGAGCUUGGUGACUCAGCGAGCGCUCAGAAGAUACACUCAGGAGCUCUAAGACUGGUGCUGAAGUGAACCCUGACAAAACUGGAGCUAGAGCAAUACUAUGAUCAUGACCAGAUACACGUCUCUGAAAGACUACUCUGUGUGUAAUAAGAUAACAUGAUUAUUAAAUUAUAGGUUUGCUUUUGCUAAGAUACACACAAAAUAGCAUCCUAAGAACUGAUACAAAUAAUAUUUAUAUUCUGUAGUGUUCUAAAAACUAUUAAAAGUCUGUAAAAAUGUAAUAGAACUAACUUAAAAAUAUAAUAAUUGAUUGAAAACCAUUACACAGUAGUUAAGCUGUAUCAUAAAAGUCAAUUAUUAAGAAAGAGGUAAUUAUUAAGAAAGAGGUAAUUAUUUCCAUCUAUUGAUGAAGAAGAACGUUUUGGCAGCGCAGCAGAUGAUGUUCAAGACAAAGGAGUUGGAUUCACGUUUGAGAAAAGCACUCAUAGCAAACUGCAACAAAGGAAAUGGCUACAGAACAGUAUCAAAGAAAUAUGGAAUAUCAAAAUUCAUAAUCAGAGCAAUAAUCAAGAAGUAUCACAACAAAUUCAACUGAAACGCUUGAAAGAAGCGGACAUCCAAAGAAAAUUACGGGUACAGCAGAUAGGAGAAUUGAGCAGCUAAAACAAAUCCAAGGUUAACAGCCAAGGGCUUAAACAAUGAUUUAGAAGCAUUAGGCACAACAGCACAUGAAAUAACUGUACAAAGGCACCUGAACAGUUGUAUGCACUUAGACCUCGCUGCAAACCACAUUUAAAUAAAAUUCAUAAAACAAACUUUGAACAGGAGAACCUGAAGCAUUUUUCAAAGUGAGACUAAAAUAUAACUUCUCCCAAAUGGACCAUGGUAUAUUUAGAGAAAAAAUGGAAAAGCCUUCAGUUAAGAAAUGUGGUUUGAUGACCAUGAUAUGGGGAUGUUUUAGCAGUAAAGUAACCGGAGACAUUCAUGGUAUUGAAAAUCAAAUGAAUGCAGCCAUGUAUCAAAACAUGUACAAAGUACAAGGAUCCCAUCUGCUCGUAGGCAGAUUGAACUGCUUUGGUGAUAACUUGUAAUGUAAUUUUUUAUUCUGCGAUACUUUGUACUGUGAUCUUUUGUAACAAUUGUAAGUCGCUAUGGAUAAGGGCGUCUGUUAAGAAAGAAAUAAAUAAUAAUAAUAAUAAUAAUAAUAAUAAUAAUAAUAAUAAUAAUAAUAAGCAUAUAUUAUUAUCGGUUUGCUUUUGAAGCUUUCUGCUGUUGGAUAAAAGCAAAUCACAUUAAUAUCUACCUAAACGUAAGUCUAUAAAAAAGGAUAUUUGCCAUUUUACUGUUUGACAUAGCUGGUUUAAUAAAUUGAUAUUAAAAAAUAAGUCCUGAACUGUAUCCAAAUAAUUGAUAAUUCAAAGUAUUAAUCGCUAGAAUAUUUGAUUACAAACACUCAUUUGACACAGUCUUACAUUUGCCUUGCAGGGGCAGAUUCAGGGUGUUUAAAUGUUCAGUAAUUGCCAGAAAGGCAGGUUUUAGUAUCCACUCAGUCAGAAAACCGUGCAUCACUUUUGCCUUGUCCAUGUAGAAGUAUCUGAAUUACUGGAAACGAACAAAAAAACAGCUCCAGUACAAGUCCAUGAGAGAACCAACGAGCCUCACUGUGCAAAAUGAUGUAAUUAUAAUCAGCAUCGCAGUCAUUGAGAAACUCACAGAAAAGAGGCCGUGAUUUAAGGCUCAUGUGUGCAGGUAGUUUACUGUUUUAACAACAAGAUCCAUAACCUGAGAAAGUUCCCUUUCUUUUAUCUCAAAUCCAUAAUCAGCUGUUCAAAUACAUCAGAACCAAGAGCUUUGCAUCACUUGUAGUCUGAUAAUUGGAGGAGACUGAUCUCUUUCAAUAUUUUGUCUUUGUUUGAAAAGUUAGUGUAAAGAAUUUUACCAGAUUCAAUGAAACACUCCUUUUUACAAUUUCCAUGCCACUUAAGGGCUUCUUAUGUUUAAAAUCCAUAUGAAAAGAUGCUUCAGUUACUACUGCCCAGUUGUUUCACUUAACAACCUCUCCUGGGAAUUUAGGGAAGCUUUCAGGUUUUUUAUUUGAUCUUUUUGAACUAUAGAUCCCAUCGGAGAAACGACUCAAUAAUCGCUAUGCAUUGUUGUAAAAUGCCUUUCCAGGUUGCUCAGUUUCAUGACUGACACGGCUUAUUGACAAAUCAGAAAGAUCGGUUUAUUUGCUGAAUCCGUAAAGGUCCUCCCACAGAGGGUUACAUUUUCUGUUGCCUUUUUUACAUACAGUUUCAUCUGUUCGUAUUCUUGUGCACUCCAUUUUGUUUGGAAAUAGCCUUCUUAUUUCAAAUUAGAUUGUCCUAACUAUCACCAUUGUACUAUAGCGAGGCGUCAACAUGUCUUUGUGAAACAACAACCAAUUAGAAAAGUAGGCUUGUGCUGGUACUGAUUUGAUUGACUGAUUAACCUAAAAAUGUAAAAGUAGGCGGGUUAACGUGACAGCAGAACAGAGAAUUUAACAACCCCCAUGUUUACUGCAAAUUCAGCCAUUGAAAACAUGAGGAGCUACUGCAGAGCCAAGUUGUGUCUAGGAAUUCCCAAUUUGAAGUGUCCCUUCCUGUGACCUAUGGAGUACUACAUAUUACAUAUUGUUACACAUAAAAAGCAAAAAUGUGGGUUGACUUUUACAGUAAGUAGAGUCUUCAGCAUUCUGUUGGAAAAGGCCCUGAGAGCCACAAAGCCUUUCCCUCCAGUUAUUUUUUCCCUGUGCAGAUUCUGGCUCUGGGCCGAACGAACCGGAUCACUCAUGGCACCAAGAUGAACCAGCACAGCUCUCGCUUACAUGCCCUGCUCACCAUCACCGUGACUGGCAUUGACCUCACCAGCGGGGCCAGGACUACCGGGAAGCUGAACUUGGUGGACCUGGCUGGUUCAGAACAUGUGUGGAAGUCCGGGGCAGAGGGAGAGAGGCUGAAGGAAGUUCAAAACAUUAACCGCUAGCUGUUGGGGAUGUUAUCCAGGCACUGAGAGCCAAGCAGACACAUGUCCCCUUCCGAAACUCCAGACUCACCUACCUGCUCCAGGACUCGCUUGGCAAGGGCAAUAAGACAGUGAUGGUGGUGCAGAUCUCCUCACUGGAGUUGAAUGUGGGUGAGACAAUGUGCUCCCUGAAGUUUGCACAGAGAGUAUGUAAAGUGGAGCUCGGCCCAGCGUCACGAAAAAGAGUCUCCCAGCAGCUCAGACUUUUUGUCUUAGAAGCUACUCUGUCAAUGCACUCUCGCAUCUAACAGCUGCAGCAGUAGUGAAACAUUUUGGGCAAAAAUAAAUAAACACAUAACCCUCUGUGACAAUGGUGCUAAUGCUUGGUCUAUAAACUCCAUUCAGAGAGGAGGUUUGGCAACACAGCCUCAGUAGUAAACCACGGGUGCAAGGUUGGUUUUGCUGUAGGAGACUUGGGUGCUGUUGUUUGCCUGUUUCUAAGCUGCUCUACUGAAGCUGUUUCUUAUGCUUGGCAGUGUCUUUCUACAGUGCCACACAACCUCUUCCUCUACAGCCACGCAUUGACAUUCCUCUUUGUGCUAAAUAACACAUCAAACUGUUUACAGAGUUAGGAGAAAUUAUUCUAAAGAUGAUUAAAUCAUAUAAACCCUGCGUCUACUCUGAAGUUAAGUCUUUACACACUGUAAUUACUAAUCCAUUUUCCAUACUGUUAUUGCUUAGAAAACUGCUUAAGACAGUUAUUCUGGAGGCAAAUUACGAAGAAGUGUCAUUUUAAACUUAGGUACACAUGAAAUCCUGUGCAUGCAUACUGUAUACAGAUCCCUGACAUAGUUAUUUAAAACUGCAAAACAAGACAAAUAUGGUCAUCGGUCAGCCAUUUUUGAUGAGAUCCCCUUCCAAACAUGCUGAAAAGAAAACCUCAGAAACAGUCAGGAGCUAAAAAUAACCCCUUCAAAUUCACCUUGGGUGAUAAAGUGUCUGAAAUAAUGUUACCCACAAAGCUCUUGGACAAAAUAAUUUUUGUGCAAAAAUACUAGCUCUUCACUUGGAAAACCUCUGAAAUUUUAAAUUUGUGGAACAUGUGAAUAGUGCUUAAUAUGACGUUUUUUUUGGCUAAAAUAUAUCAAAUAAUAAUAUUAGUAACAAUCAAAUGCUAUUUCUUAGCCUCUAUUGCAUGUUGAUAUAACUGAGCUGAAUGCUAGCAGAGUGAUGUAUGUGCUGAGGUUUGUAGUUAUAUUCCUUAUUACAUUCUAUAAAUUACUGUUGUUCAUUGGUUUGGUGUGAGGUCUGACAGCAGGGUAGUAUGAAUCGAUGUGGGAAAUGGGGUAUAAAUAUACACAUACAAAUUCCAGUGUUGCCUAAAAGAUGGAGAUUAAAUUAUGCCAUUUGUGCCAUUUAUUACACAUUAAGUAAUUUCCCAUGUACAGUGUGUUUAUCAUAUAUCUCCAAUACUGUGUAAUGUAAGAUCUACUAUAUCUCUAUAAUGUCUUCCUGUUGUCCUUUCAAGUGAACUUGACUCCUAAAGUUUUCUGGCAGCUUCCUGCACUGUAGUUAGCGGGCGUGCACACACAAUAUCAGAGAAGUGCUAUAUAAUAUGGAGAAGUAAACUGCAAUGUAAGACAAAUGUGUGACUGUUCUAUGUUUACCAGACAGCGGGAUGAGAGAUAAAUACCUGGACCUGCACUAUGAAUUCUCAAAGGGAGUCCAGCAAGUGUAUAGUGUAUAGAACAUUGCUAUCCUUAAAACAACAUAUGAAGUGGAAACUGAGGAUUAAAUUGCAAUCUCCGGGUUCAGAGACCUAUGUGCUCUCUGCUGUCUGCUGUACUUUAAGAGCCACUACAAUACUGAACUCAAAAACUACAGGAGGCAGUUCAUUACGUGAACUUGAACAAAGCUCCUCCAUGCAACCCCCUUGCUGGAGUUUCUUUUAAAUGAGUGAAAAUGUAUAUUUUUAUUUAAGGCACACUGGAAAACUAUGGAAAAUGCAUCAUUGUUUUUACUCCUAAUAAUAACACUGUGUUUAUGUUUAUAUUGUUUAAAUAUCCAUCACGUGGCAUCUACCAAAUUAUUAUUAAAAUGAAACUCUAAAGAAUGGAAGCUUCUAUAUUAGUCCUGUUCAGAAUAAACUAAUGUAAUGUCCUUACGUAUUACUUAAUAAAAAAGUAGAGCAUUAUAUUACUCGUUAUGUUACUCAUUCUAU